rnacentral:rRNA from 1 species
GACGAACGCUGGCGGCAUGCUUAACACAUGCAAGUCGUACGGUAAGGCCCUUUCUGGGGGGCGCGAUCGGCGAACGGGUGAGUAACACGCACGUAACUUGCCCACACCUUUGGUUGAACGCUAUUAAAGUGGUGCGAAUACUUACUAUGUACUCCUUCUGCAUGGUGGGGGUUGGAAAGCUCGUGCGGUUGUGGAUGGACUCGCGGCCUACCGGCCUGUUGGUGGGGUAGUGGCCUACCUGGGCGGCGACGGGUAGCCGGCCUGAGGGGGUGACCGGCCACACUGGGACUGAGAUACGGCCCGGACUCCUACGGGAGGCAGCAGUGGGGAAUAUUGCACAAUGGGCGCAAGCCUGAUGCAGCAACGCCGCGGGCGGGAGGACGGCCUUCGGGUUGUAAACCGCUUUCAGCAGGGACGAAGCUUUUUGUGACGGUACCUGCAGAAGAAGCACCGGCUAACUACGUG